rfam:Felis catus isolate Cinnamon breed Abyssinian chromosome C1, whole genome shotgun sequence.
UAUCAGGCCUUUAUCAAGGCCACUUUAUAAAUUCCUACCAGAAUCA